rnacentral:rRNA from 1 species
GUAUAGACCCGAAACCCGGUGAUCUAGCCAUGGGCAGGUUGAAGGUUGGGUAACACUAACUGGAGGACCGAACCGACUAAUGUUGAAAAAUUAGCGGAUGACUUGUGGCUGGGGGUGAAAGGCCAAUCAAACCGGGAGAUAGCUGGUUCUCCCCGAAAGCUAUUUAGGUAGCGCCUCGUGAACUCAUCUUCGGGGGUAGAGCACUGUUUCGGCUAGGGGGUCAUCCCGACUUACCAACCCGAUGCAAACUGCGAAUACCGAAGAAUGUUAUCACGGGAGACACACGGCGGGUGCUAACGUCCGUCGUGAAGAGGGAAACAACCCAGACCGCCAGCUAAGGUCCCAAAGUCAUGGUUAAGUGGGAAACGAUGUGGGAAGGCACAGACAGCCAGGAUGUUGGCUUAGAAGCAGCCAUCAUUUAAAGAAAGCGUAAUAGCUCACUGGUCGAGUCGGCCUGCGCGGAAGAUGUAACGGGGCUAAACCAUGCACCGAAGCUGCGGCAGCGACACUAUGUGUUGUUGGGUAGGGGAGCGUUCUGUAAGCCGUUGAAGGUGUACUGUGAGGUAUGCUGGAGGUAUCAGAAGUGCGAAUGCUGACAUAAGUAACGAUAAUGCGGGUGAAAAACCCGCACGCCGGAAGACCAAGGGUUCCUGUCCAACGUUAAUCGGGGCAGGGUGAGUCGACCCCUAAGGCGAGGCCGAAAGGCGUAGUCGAUGGGAAACAGGUUAAUAUUCCUGUACUUGGUGUUACUGCGAAGGGGGGACGGAGAAGGCUAUGUUAGCCGGGCGACGGUUGUCCCGGUUUAAGCAUGUAGGCGGAGGUUCCAGGUAAAUCCGGUACCUUUUUAACGCUGAGGUGUGAUGACGAGGCACUACGGUGCUGAAGUAACAAAUGCCCUGCUUCCAGGAAAAGCCUCUAAGCAUCAGGUAACACGAAAUCGUACCCCAAACCGACACAGGUGGUCAGGUAGAGAAUACCAAGGCGCUUGAGAGAACUCGGGUGAAGGAACUAGGCAAAAUGGUGCCGUAACUUCGGGAGAAGGCACGCUGAUAUGUAGGUGAAGUGAUUUACUCAUGGAGCUGAAAUCAGUCGAAGAUACCAGCUGGCUGCAACUGUUUAUUAAAAACACAGCACUGUGCAAACACGAAAGUGGACGUAUAGGGUGUGAUGCCUGCCCGGUGCUGGAAGGUUAAUUGAUGGUGUAAUCGAAAGAGAAGCUCCUGAUCGAAGCCCCAGUAAACGGCGGCCGUAACUAUAACGGUCCUAAGGUAGCGAAAUUCCUUGUCGGGUAAGUUCCGACCUGCACGAAUGGCGUAAUGAUGGCCAGGCUGUCUCCACCCGAGACUCAGUGAAAUUGAACUCGCUGUGAAGAUGCAGUGUACCCGCGGCAAGACGGAAAGACCCCGUGAACCUUUACUAUAGCUUGACACUGAACACUGGUCCUUGAUGUGUAGGAUAGGUGGGAGGCUUUGAAGUGUGGACGCCAGUCUGCAUGGAGCCAUCCUUGAAAUACCACCCUUUAAUGGCUGGUGUUCUAACGUGGACCCGUAAUCCGGGUUGCGGACAGUGUCUGGUGGGUAGUUUGACUGGGGCGGUCUCCUCCUAAAGAGUAACGGAGGAGCACGAAGGUUAGCUAAUCCUGGUCGGACAUCAGGAGGUUAGUGCAAAGGCAUAAGCUAGCUUGACUGCGAGAGUGACGGCUCGAGCAGGUGCGAAAGCAGGUCUUAGUGAUCCGGUGGUUCUGAAUGGAAGGGCCAUCGCUCAACGGAUAAAAGGUACUCCGGGGAUAACAGGCUGAUACCGCCCAAGAGUUCAUAUCGACGGCGGUGUUUGGCACCUCGAUGUCGGCUCAUCACAUCCUGGGGCUGAAGUAGGUCCCAAGGGUAUGGCUGUUCGCCAUUUAAAGUGGUACGCGAGCUGGGUUUAGAACGUCGUGAGACAGUUCGGUCCCUAUCUGCCGUGGGCGCUGGAGAAUUGAGGGGGGCUGCUCCUAGUACGAGAGGACCGGAGUGGACGCAUCACUGGUGUUCGGGUUGUCAUGCCAAUGGCAUUGCCCGGUAGCUAAAUGCGGAAGAGAUAAGUGCUGAAAGCAUCUAAGCACGAAACUUGCCCCGAGAUGAGUUCU